UAGCAAAGCCAAGUAAAUCUAAUUUUUAAGAAUUAUUCAAUAAAGGUACAGCUUUAUUGAAAAAGGAAACAACCUAAACCUUAGGAUAAUGAAUAUUUUUAAAUAGGUAAAAGGCCAAGUUGGCCUAAAAGCAGCCAUCUUUAAAGAUAGCGUCAAAGCUUCACCUUAAACACACCUUAAAUCUCAUUAUUUUUUCAUAAUCCAACAAUUCUACUAAGCCAUUCUAUACUUUUAUAGAAAAGUUUAUGUUAGGACUAGUAACACAGAAUAAUUUCUCUUACAUGUAAGUUUAAAUCAACCCGAAUACCUCCUUGAUAAUUACUCAAAUUUGAACCUUAAGUAGUACCUAUUAAUUACAAAAACCCUACUUAACUUAUUGUUAAUCAAACAUAUGGAUAUGAAAGAAAGAUUAAAAAAUUAAGAAGGAACUCGGCAAACACAAGUCCCGCCUGUUUACCAAAAACAUCGCCUUUUGAAAAGUAUAAAAGGUAACGCCUGCCCACUGACAGUAUGUUUAACGGCCGCGGUAUUCUGACCGUGCGAAGGUAGCGUAAUCACUUGUCUUUUAAAUGAAGACUCGUAUGAAAGGCAUCACGAGAACUUAGCUGUCUCCUUAAUUCAAUCAGUGAAACUGAUACCCCUGUAAAAAAGCAGGGAUGAUUACAUAAGACGAGAAGACCCUGUGGAGCUUAAAACAUAAGCUACUUCUAUACUCUACUAACUUAUAGUACUAAAAUACAAACCUAGCCUAAGUUUUCUGUUGGGGCGGCUGUGGAGAAAAACUUAUCCUCCAUGAAGAAAAAACUUUGAUCUACCGCUCUUAGUAUUAGCAAGCCUAACUUAAAUUGAUCCAAUUUUUGAUCAACGGACCAAGUUACCCCAGGGAUAACAGCGCAAUCCAUUUCAAGAGUCCCUAUCGACAAAUGGGUUUACGACCUCGAUGUUGGAUUAG
rnacentral:rRNA from 1 species